rnacentral:rRNA from 1 species
AACGAACGCUGGCGGCAUGCCUAACACAUGCAAGUCGAACGAGACCUUCGGGUCUAGUGGCGCACGGGUGCGUGACGCGUGGGAACCUGCCCUUAGGUUCGGAAUAACUCCCCGAAAGGGGUGCUAAUACCGGAUAAUGUCUUCGGACCAAAGAUUUAUCGCCUUUGGAUGGGCCCGCGUUGGAUUAGCUAGUUGGUAGGGUAAAAGCCUACCAAGGCGACGAUCCAUAGCUGGUCUGAGAGGAUGAUCAGCCACACUGGGACUGAGACACGGCCCAGAAUCCUACGGGAGGCAGGAGUGGGGAAUAUUGGACAAGGGGCGAAAGCCUGAUCCAGCAAUGCCGCGUGAGUGAUGAAGGCCUUAGGGUUGUAAAGCUCUUUUACCCGGGAUGAUAAUGACAGUACCGGGAGAAUAAGCUCCGGCUAACUCCGUG